AAGCUGUUUCUGAAUCGAGUGUUGAAGAAGAAGUUGAUGAGGAUGUUAUGGAAAUGGAGAGUACUGCUCGUUCUUCGGAGUAUCAUGGCGAAGAAGAUUCCCAAAACUCAGAACCGAAUGAAGACAAUGAUUCUCAUAAUGCUAAUACGGGUAAUCCCGGCUCUUCGAAUGCUUCAGAGACCACCCAAGUACCGAAUGACGAAGUUGAGAAUAAUCGAGCGGAUGAUGAUGGUACGAGCAGCAUCAUGAAUCAAAGUG